UGAUAGCUCGGUUGGUAGAGUAUGAGACUCUUAAUUUCAGGGUUCUGGGUUUGAGCCCCACACUGAGCAAAA